rnacentral:misc_RNA from 1 species
GUUUUUCCAUAAAAAUGUAGAUGAGUCAUGAGGCAAUCAUAUAUCUAUAAGUUUCAAAUCAUCAUCAAGCUCUCUUUCAUGCCCUCAAAAAGAAUUUAUGGCUUAAGUUUGUAUCUAAGUUGUGCAAAUAUUGAGAAACUUGUACGAUUUUCCAGAGUGAGAGAAAACAGCCACUUUUUGAAUCAAGUGAACAUAGUUUUCAAUAGAACUCAUUGUUUUGGUAGAAAUAAACAAUUUUCUAUUUAUUUAUUCUUCAAUCUGUCGGACUUCCUGUUUGCACGAUUCUUAUUCCACUACAACAUAAAG